rnacentral:rRNA from 1 species
AUGAACGCUGGCGGCGUGCUUAACACAUGCAAGUCGAACGGUGAAGGCGGAGCUUGCUCUGCUGGAUCAGUGGCGAACGGGUGAGUAACACGUGAGCAAUCUGCCCCUGACUCUGGGAUAAGCGCUGGAAACGGCGUCUAAUACUGGAUACGAGCUGCGAAGGCAUCUUCAGCAGCUGGAAAGAAUUUCGGUCAGGGAUGAGCUCGCGGCCUAUCAGCUUGUUGGUGAGGUAAUGGCUCACCAAGGCGUCGACGGGUAGCCGGCCUGAGAGGGUGACCGGCCACACUGGGACUGAGACACGGCCCAGACUCCUACGGGAGGCAGCAGUGGGGAAUAUUGCACAAUGGGCGAAAGCCUGAUGCAGCAACGCCGCGUGAGGGACGACGGCCUUCGGGUUGUAAACCUCUUUUAGCAGGGAAGAAGCGAAAGUGACGGUACCUGCAGAAAAAGCGCCGGCUAGCUACGUG